rnacentral:rRNA from 1 species
UACGUAGGGCGCAAGCGUUGUCCGGAAUUAUUGGGCGUAAAGAGCUCGUAGGCGGUUUGUCGCGUCUGCUGUGAAAACUCGGGGCUCAACUCCGAGCUUGCAGUCGAUACGGGCAGGCUAGAGUUCGGUAGGGGAGACUGGAAUUCCUGGUGUAGCGGUGAAAUGCGCAGAUAUCAGGAGGAACACCGGUGGCGAAGGCGGGUCUCUGGGCCGAUACUGACGCUGAGGAGCGAAAGCGUGGGGAGCGAACAGG